AUUGAACGCUGGCGGCAUGCUUUACGCAUGCAAGUCGAAAGGUAACAGGUUAAGCUGUCGAGUGGCGAACGGGUGAGUAAUGCCUCGGAACGUGCCCGAUCGAGGGGGAUAACGCAGCGAAAGCUCCGCUAAUACCGCAUACGAUCUGAGGAUGAACGCGGGGGCGCGUAAGGCCUCGCGCUAUCGGGGCGGCUGAUGUCGGAUUAGGUGGUUGGUGGGGUAAAGGCGGACCACGCCAACGAUCUGUAGCUGGUCUGAGAGGACGACCAGCCACACUGGGACUGAGACACGGCCCAGACCCCGACGGGAGGCAGCAGUGGGGAAUUUUGGACAAGGGGCGAAAGCCUGAUCCAGCAAUGCCGCGUGCAGGAAGAAGGCCUUCGGGUUGUAACCUGCUUUUGUACGGAGCGAAAAGGUCUCCUCUAAUACAGGGGGCUCAUGACGGUACCGUAAGAAUAAGCACCGGCUAACUACGUGCCAGCCGCCGCUGUAA
rnacentral:rRNA from 1 species